AGGAGUCCACAGCUGUCAUCCUGGAGAAAGUGGCAGAAGCACUCACCCUUGAAAAGCAGACAACAGCAAAGGACAGUAAGGAGUAUGCCCUAGGCAGAGAGUACGUGUGUGUGCAGACCACCACUUUGUGGCUCUCUCUCUUUGUGGCAAGGGUAUUCGCAUCACAAUUUAGGUGCAAUGUGGAGCCCUUCUUACAGACCAGACCCAAGCUAACUGGCUUAGGUGUGUUUUCCCGGUUAGUCCUCACCAACAUCCCAUAAGGCCAGUACACUUAGUGCCCAUCUUAUAGAUAAGGAAACUGAGGCUCAGAGAGGUUUAGCAACUUGGGUAAGAGGCAGAGGUAUGGCCCCAGGCUACUCCGUGCUGCCUCUGCACAAUGCCCUCAUUUGGCAGGCAGCAACUGAGCACCUACUAUGUGCAGGCCCUAAGCCAGGUGCUUCCUGGAUUCAGGCCCUGGCAUCACAUUCCAGAGUGUCCUCAGAUGGCUGGCAUCUCUCAUUGUCAUCUGGGCACGAUGAUCAGAGGAAGCUCUCUCCAGGGUAUAUGUGGGUAUGGGGGAGAGGAGUGUGGGUGGGAGCCUGGAGGCCCCUGCUUGAUAGCUGUGAGUUCUCCCUCAUGAAAGCCUCAGUUUCUUCACCUGUAAAACGGGGCCGUGAUGCCUGCUGUGCAGGCCCAUGUGACAACGUGCCUUGAAAGCGUGUGGGAAAAGUGCUUUGUGUGUUCAGUGAGCCCUCAAACUGGGCUGACUCUCCUCAAACCACCAGGAGCGAGCUUCCCGGAACAAUCUAGCCACCAGCCUUUCCCUGCAGCUGACAGGCUGCGGUCACCACCGCCACCACCACCCUGAAUUAUUCAAGACCCUCCAGGCCUCAGUGGCAGCCCUUCCCCUCUCCCUGUGCAACCAGGCUGUCAACACCAGACUCUAGGCCUCUGCCAGUGAUCUAUGGACCUCAGGGCCCCCGAGCUUCAGCCUGCUCAGGCUCUGCUUGUCAUGGCUGAAAUCCCCUGGACUGCAUUGGGACCAUACUGCUGAGAGUCUGGUUGCUGGGCUUCAGCUGACAGAACAUCAGAGCCCCAGGAUGGGAUAGCCACAAGUUGGGAAGGUGAGGCAGGGUGAGGGGCUUGAUGAUGGGGAGCAGGCAGAAAGAACAGGCUGCAGAGCUAGGGCUGCUGGAGCCUGAUGUCUGGUCCAAGUUCCAGCUCCUCCACUCAUGGGGUGAGCUGGGGCAAGUCACUUCACUCUCUGAGCCUCAGUUUCCUCAUCAGAACAAUGGGCCUGUACACUAAGCAUUAUCCACCCCAAAUCCUAGAAGCCUGCCUUCUCCUCCUGGCUCUGGGAAGUUGACCAUUGGAGGCCUGGGACACUGGCCUGUCUGGAGGCUGGGGAAGUAUGAGACGACCCCUUCUUCCCUUCCCUGCGCCCAGAAGGCCUGACUUGUCCUACUGCACCCCUCCCAUCACAGUGAUCUGUGUGGGCUCAUAACAACAUAAGCUAGACGGUGAUCCUGUAUCACCUUCCUGCAUUCUGGGAGGCUCGGCCUCCAACUCCCAGACCAGGGAAUGGUCUCCACUCCUCCAAUCCUUCCCAGGUUCAGAAGCAGGAAUGGGGGAAGUCCUGCCUGUCCCCUCUCUGACUUUACUUUCCCUUUCUAGAGCAGGGGUAUUCUGGGAUGGGAGGACUGAGUGUCCCUGCUGCCUGGUCCUCAGAGUUGGCUAGCUCCCCCCAUGCCCCUCAUUCCCCCGCCUGCUCGCCUGUAGAGCUGUGGCCCGGGCAGCUGUCCGGCUGAGUGGGUU
rnacentral:lncRNA from 10 species